UAACUGGAAGUAGAGUGGUGAGUUCGCUCUUGGGAAUAAGCGCGGUGUAGUUUUUUUUGAUGUACUCUGCGUUGACAUCGCAGGAUUUACGUUUUCCUGUUGAUUUAGGAACAGGGCUGGAAAUCGUAAAGAGAGGCGACAAGACUGACUCCAGAAGCACAGGUCCGGGAAUAGACAGACCUCAGAGACUCGCAGUCUAAAGCAGAUUGCCCCGUCGUGAAGAAACCCCUUCGGAAGACCUGAAGCAAUUCCGCCGAGAGCAGAAAAUGGCUCAUGACCAGUCUCUGCUGGUUGUGCAGCAGGCCCUGAAGAAGUGCUUCCCUGUGGUGGAGGAACAGCAGGACCUGUGGCAGAGCACCCUGCAGGACUGCUCGCCCCUCCUGUCCUCUCUCAGUAACCUGGCUGAGCAGCUGCAAGCUGCACAGAGUCUGCGGUUUGAGGAUGUGCCAGCCCUUCGUCCCUUUCCAGACUUACAGGAGCGGUUGAGGUGCAAGCAGCUGGAGGCUGGUGACGUUGUCCUGGACAAGCUAGCUGAGAGGCUAGCCACCCUCCUCAAGGUCCGUAACACCAUCAGCAGCCAUGUGGAGCAGGUAUUUCAGGCCUAUGAGCAGCAUGCGGCUGUGCUGGACAUUGAUGCCGUCCUGCGCCCCUCAGUUGUGAGCCCCUCUGUGGCUGACAUGUUGGAGUGGCUGCAAGACAUCGACAGACAUUAUGGAAGCUCGUACCUGAAGAGAAAGUACCUCAUCUCCUCCAUCCACUGGGGAGACUUGGCCGGUAUCCAAGCACUGCCCAAGGCCUGGGACCAGAUUUCAGAAGAUGAGUGCCAAAGCCUUGUGUCAGAUGUCCUGCUGAGUGUCUCCUUCUUCCUGGAGGAGCCAGGAGGCUGUGCAGUGUCUGGAGAUCUGGAGCACCGCAGCUGAGGGCUGCCAUUGCUACCCUAGGCUCUUUCUACGUGUGGGUCAGCAUUGCUACCUGACUCACUGGAAUAGCAGUGCCUACGGUAGAGGCCCUGGGACUUCUCCAUGCUAGGCCAAGGCCAAGGCCAAGGGUCCAUGGCCUCUGCACCUAUGGCUCUGAGAAGUGGAUAGAGGUGGAGGAGACAGGAAAGACAGUGCUGAUAAACAGUGUCCACCAAGACAGGAAAGGGCAGAAUGCAAGGUUGUGUGGCCACCGCUGUCUAUGUCAUCUGAACCAUAUUCUCUGGUUGGCUCAGGUCCUGAUUCUGUGUGUGUCAGUAUCUGAGUCCUUAAUGGCUUAAAGAUAGGAGUGGGUCUGGGAGUCAAGGGCAGGAGCAGUGUGUGUGUGUGUUGGGGGGGGGGUCGGGGGACAAAGUCAAUCCCCUGCAAACCCCCAAAAAGGGAGGGACUGAAGGAAAGGGAAUGUUUAAAAUAUUUACCCCUUCUCUGAAGCUCAUUAUGAAGCCAAUUUCCAUUUCCAAAAUCAGCCACCAGGGGACGAUGGUGCAGCGUGAGUGGUUCUGAAUGCCUUGUUCUUGAGGGAGGUCUCCUGUUGCUGUUAAAAACCACUGAGGUGGCAGAGGGGAGCUGGAUAUCCCACCCAGGACUAGGGAGGCAAAGACAGGUGGAUCUCUGUGAUUUUAAGAUCAUCUUGGUCUCCAUAGCUUCAGGCCAACCAAGGCCACAUACUGAGACUGUCUCAGAAAAGAAGAAAGAGGUAAUGGAGAAAUAGUGGUGACAGGGCUGAGGGACCUUGCAUUGGCCACGGUCUUCUGAGUUUGGGGUAACUGGCCAGGGGAGGGGAUGCCAGCUGUGACGAUUGGUUUUUAUGGUCCACUUGACAUGCAAAGCCACCUGGGAAGGGAGUCUCAGUAAGGAAUGUUCUAGAUUUGGUUGGCUUGCAGACAUGUAAGAUUUUCUUAACUGAGGUGAGAAGACCCAUCCUGAAUGUGAGUGGCAGCAUUUCAUGGGCUGGAGCCAGGAUCAAAGGAGAAAGAGGGCAGGCUGAGCACUUAGCAGGCAUGCACUAACCCAUCGCUUCUGACGGUGAAUGUGCUGUGACCACUGCUUCAUGUUCCUGCCAGAGACUCUCCUGUAGUAAUGGAUUCUAACUUCAAAUUAUAAGCCUAAUAAGUCCUUUCUCCCUUCAGUUGCAUCUGUCAAUAGGUUUUAUCAUGCUUUAGGGUUCUCUAAAGGAACAGAACUAAUGAUAGCAUGAAUGAAUAUAAAGAGAGAGGUAUUGGGGGCAGCGAGGGUGAGGGCCGGCGUGCCUAAAGCAAAAGCUUUCUUCUCCCAUAUGAUGUUAUGUGGGCUCCCACCACAGGGUUUGACCCAGAUUUGGGGUGGGUCUUCCUACCCCGGAAUGAUCCAGAUUUAGAGUGGGUCUUCCCACCUCAAAUGAUCCAAUCAAGAAAACCCCUCACAGGCAUGCCCAGUUGCUUGAGUCUUAGUUGAUUCCAGAUGUCAAGUUGACAGUGAAGAUUAGCCAUCACAUGCAGUACCAGGAAAGAGACUGAGAGGCAGCCUCGAGUGGUACCGACCCUUGCCUUCUGUGCUACGGCCACUGCCCAGGGGUGCCAGCUUCCCAUGUACCCUACAAGUCAGGGCUGCCGUGUACAGGGCAUAGUGCAGAGAAUGGAUUUAUUUUAGCUUUUGAUUUUCCAAGACAGGGUUUCUCUGUAGCCCUGGCUGUCCUGGAACUCACUCUAAACCAGGCUGAUCUCAGAGAUCCACCUUCCUCUGCCUCCCGAGUGCUAGGAUCAAAGGCGUGCGCCACCACCACCACCCAGCUAAGGAUGGAGACUUUUAAAAAGAAAGUGGCUUUGUUUUCUUACUAUAUUUUUUGUUUACAAUUAAAGAAAAAUACAAAAAAGUAUAAUGCAAUAAUAUUUUGAUCUGGAUCCAUUUACCGUUCUUCAUAAAUUUCAAAACAAAAUCAUUGAUACAAACUCAUUCUUUCUAAAUUUGUGGAUAGUGGGACAUCUGUAAAUAAGUCAAUAAAAUAUAUACUAUAUAGACUAUAUAGACUA
ensembl:processed_transcript